AUUGAACGCUGGCGGCAGGCUUAACACAUGCAAGUCGAGCGAGCGGCGGACGGGUGAGUAAUGUCUGGGAAACUGCCUGAUGGAGGGGGAUAACUACUGGAAACGGUAGCUAAUACCGCAUACCAUCAGAUGUGCCCAGAUGGGAUUAGCUAGUAGGUGGGGUAAUGGCUCACCUAGGCGACGAUCCCUAGCUGGUCGGAGAGGAUGACCAGCCAGACUGGAAUCGAGACACGGUCCAGACUCCUACGGGAUGCAGCAGUGGGGAAUAUUGCGGAAGUGGGUCAAGCCUGAUGCAGACAUGCCGCGUGUGUGAAGAAGGCCUUCGGGUUGUAAAGCACUUUCAGCGAGGAGGCGUUACUCGCAGAAGAAGCACCGGCUAACUCCGUGCCAGCAGCCGCGGUAAUAC
rnacentral:rRNA from 1 species